UUCCUCUCAGGGUGGCACCUGGAGAGUUCCAGUACUCAACCAGUAUUGACUACAGGAGGGAGAGUCAAGCAGAGGCAUACCCAUUCCAUUCCUGGCUGGAGCAGCAACUAGUGAGUGGAAGGCAAUCUGCUACAAGU